AAACGGCAUCUCUCUACAGCGCAUCUCUCAAUGGAUUCCAAUUACCACAAGCCCCUCAGAAUCUACCUAGUCUCAUCAACCGACUUACCCGAGUUCACUCACUUAACUCGGGCGCUAACUCGGUCCAAUCUCAUAGCACUCGACGCUGAGUGGAAACCCAUUCGUUCCCACCAACCCAAUUUCCCCACCGUCUCACUCCUCCAACUCGCUUGUCAACUCGAUCCCCGACUCAGUUCCGACUCGGACGAGUUGAACGAGACAGUAGUUUUCUUACUCGACCUGUCCUCAAUUCCUCUAUCUUCAAUAUUGGAACUGUUAAAAGAGGUGUUUGUUUCGCCAGAUGUGUUGAAAUUAGGGUUUAAAUUUAAGCAAGAUUUGAUUUACUUGUCGUCUACUUUCUGUUCUCAAGGAUGUGAACCACGGUUUGAUAGGGUAGAGCCCUAUUUGGACAUCGCAAGCAUAUAUAACUAUCUGCAACAUAAGCAACAUGGGAGGAAGUUACCAAGGGAAACCAAGAGUCUGGCAACUAUUUGCAAAGAAGUAUUAGGCAUUUCUCUUUCGAAGGAACUUCAAUGUAGUGAUUGGUCACGUCGACCACUUACAGAAGAGCAGAAAACCUAUGCUGCUACAGAUGCUCACUGCUUGCUUGAAAUAUUUAAUAGCUUUCGGGAUAAGGUUUCUCAGGAAGGUUUUAUUACGGGGAAUUCUUCUGGCAACAUUGUGGAACUACAUUCUUUUGAUGUGGAUCUCGGGUUGAAAGAAAUACUUGAGAAGCCUGAAGUUGGGAAUAAAAUCAUUAGAACAAGAGUUUGUGAUGCUCUGGACAUAGUUCGAGCUGCUGCUUCUUCUCAAUAUUCUCAGCAUGUAGCUGAGGGUGUAGUUUCCAGAAUAUCAUGCAGAACUACCAUGCCUAUGGAUGAAUUCUUCUUGAAGAUAGUAAGGAAGCAUGGUGAAAAACUUGUGUUGAGAGAAUCAGACAGAGCACCAAAAACAUCCAAAAAGAAAGGCAAAAGACGGUCCUCUGCGGUUGUGAUAUUGAAAGAAAAACAGGUGGACAAUUUUGGUGAUUGGCAAGGUCCACCACCAUGGGAUUCGUCUUUGGGAGGUGAUGGGUGCCCUAAAUUUCUAUGUGAUGUGAUGGUUGAAGGCUUGGCUAAACACUUACGUUGUGUGGGGAUAGAUGCUGCAAUACCAAAUUCAAAAAAGCCAGAAUCUAGGGAAUUGAUAGAUCAAGCAUCCAAAGAAAAGAGAGUACUUUUGACGCGAGAUGCCAAGCUAUUGAGGCAUCAGUAUCUGAUAAAGAAUCAGAUAUAUAGGGUGAAGAGCCUUUUGAAAAAUGAACAGCUACUUGAGGUUAUUGAAACAUUCCAAUUGAAAAUUAGCGAGGAUCAGCUGAUGUCAAGGUGUACUAAAUGUAAUGGAAGGUUUAUUCAAAAACCGUUAUCAAUGGAAGAGGCUGUUGAGGCUGCAAAGGGUUUUCAGAGAAUACCUGACUGCUUGUUUGACAAGAAUUUAGAGUUCUGGCAAUGCAUAGAUUGCCACCAACUUUACUGGGAGGUAGCUUCUAACCUGUUGUCAUAUGGGGCUGUUUUAUUUCUCUUUGCAAAUGGUUGUCUCUCCUUUAUGUCAAACACCAGAUAUCAGCUUAGAAGAAACUGAUUUGAUUGUUAAAUUUUAUGUAAAGUUUUCUCUUAUUGGCAUGCUUUCAGAUAUGGCUAGGUGGCAACGUGCUGAUAAGUUUGCUAUGUGGGAAAGAAAUAAUGCAAUGCCAUAUCUAUUGAGUGUUAUAUUAUAUAAUAUUAAAAAAUCUGAUGACCUCUCUGAUGAGUCACUGAGGUCUAAACUGGGACUGGGGAGGAACUUACAACCUUGGCAUUUAGGAACUUGUGAGAUAUAAAUAUCCGAAGUAGGUGGUUUUAGUAGGAGACAACCCUCUAUUGUGCUAUUAUUUUUCUAAACAUUACAGCAGUGUGUUAUUUUGAGCAAAUGAGAAAUUCCCUCGUCUCAUCAUCUAGUAGGUUUAGUGGCCAUAUCCCAGGAUUGCUAAAGCAUACAACUUCAGCACUUUCACUAAGGAUCACUUUCAAUUCUCAAUUUUACUUUUUUCAGGGCAAAAACCAUUUGAAUAUAUUAUUGGAUACUGGAUAGUUGAGUUCUUCAGCUGAUGUCUAUGUUAUACCAAAUUUGUACUGUUUACAUGAAUUGAAGUACAUUAUCUUAUUUGGCGAUUAUAUCUGAAAUCACUUCAAACUGGUUAGAGCUUAUAUUGUUUAACGUCUGCAACAGUAGAAAGUCUUUUUGUAGCCAAUAUCUUUAUCAGCCUGCAUGUAAUGUGUUAUUAUUACAGGGAACUCAGUACCACAAUGCAGUUCAGAAGUUCAUCGACGUCUGCAAGUUGAGUGAAUGAGUUGAAGAUGGCUUGCACUCAUCUUUCAAGAGGUCCCCUGACCGCAGCUCGAGCCGGGGUAUGUACUAAGUACUCAGUACGCAGUUUUCUUGGUUAUUUGUUUCAUGAGUAAAUUUGAGGUUCAAAAGACAAGGCUUAGUGUAAUUUGAGGGCAAAACGAUUUAACCAUUUAAGUUAUUUUGAAAUGUUCAGCCCCUGGUAGUUGCAGUUGUACACAUGAAAAUUGAAAUAUCAGUGGAAAGAAAGUUUUUACAAUUUUAAA